rnacentral:rRNA from 1 species
UUUAUGGAGAGUUUGAUCCUGGCUCAGGAUGAACGCUGGCGGCGUGCCUAAUACAUGCAAGUCGAGCGAACGGACGAGAAGCUUGCUUCUCUGAUGUUAGCGGCGGACGGGUGAGUAACACGUGGAUAACCUACCUAUAAGACUGGGAUAACUUCGGGAAACUGGAGCUAAUACCGGAUAAUAUUUUG